rnacentral:rRNA from 1 species
UACGGAAGGUUCGGGCGUUAUCCGGAUUUAUUGGGUUUAAAGGGAGCGUAGGCCGUUUGGUAAGCGUGUUGUGAAAUGUAGGAGCUCAACUUCUAGAUUGCAGCGCGAACUGUCAGACUUGAGUGCGCACAACGUAGGCGGAAUUCAUGGUGUAGCGGUGAAAUGCUUAGAUAUCAUGAAGAACUCCGAUUGCGAAGGCAGCUUACGGGAGCGCAACUGACGCUGAAGCUCGAAGGUGCGGGUAUCGAACAGGAUUAGAUACCCUGGUAGUCAAGGGCG